rfam:Oryza barthii chromosome 5, whole genome shotgun sequence.
CCUCUUGAUGAUGAGGAGCUUGUGUCUUACAUCUUCGCCGGCCUCGACUUCGACUACAACUCGGUGGUGUCUUCCAUCGCUGGGCGAGCCGACUCCAUCACCAUGAGCGAGGCCUAUGCAAUGCUAGUUGGCUUUGAAA